AGCAGCCGCGGUAAUUCCAGCUCCAAUAGCGUAUAUUAAAGUUGUUGCAGUUAAAAAGCUCGUAGUUGAAUUUCGGGAUCAAUAUAUCGGUCGUGCCAUUGGUACGUACUGGUAUCAUUGGUUUCUCCUUUCUGACGAACCAUGAUGUCAUUAAUUUGGUGUUAUGGGAAGUUAGGACUGUUACUUUGAAAAAUUAGAGUGUUUAAAGCAGGCUUUAGCUUGAAUACAUUAGCAUGGAAUAAUGAAAUAGGACGUUCGAACCUAUUUUGUUGGUUUCUAGGAUCAACGUAAUGAUUAAUAGGGAUAGUUGGGGGCAUUAGUAUUCAAUUGUCAGAGGUGAAAUUCUUGGAUUUAUUGAAGACUAACUACUGCGGAAGCAUUUGCCAAGGAUGUUUUCAUUAAUCAAGAACGAAAGUUAGGGGAUCGAAGACGAUCAGAUACCGUCGUAGUCUUAACCAUAAACUAUGCCGACUAGGGAUCGGACGAUGUUAAUUUUUUAAUGACUCGUUCGGCGCCUUAC
rnacentral:rRNA from 1 species